UUCCCUGUUGAACAGUCGCUUCCUAUAUUGAAAAGUCACAUUCUUCGACAAUUUCUUCUACUCUCUUUCUCCGACGCACACCUGGAACUCGAACUCGUCACCGGAAAUCCAGAAAUAUUUGGGUAGUUUGUUUGGAAUCUUAAGUAGUUUGAUUUUAAAAAAUGCAAAGCGGAGGAGACGAAGUUGGCGUUAAACAAUUUGCUUUGAAUAUCUCUACUUAGGAAGAACAACUUCAGCUGGCAGGGAAAUGGAGAAGGCUUAUCAAACCAGCGACUUCGACAAAUGUUUCCCAACAUAUUUGUGAAGUUCAUUCACAUAGUGAAGACACUUGUGGUCCGGCCUUUUCCCGAACCCCGGCAUAGCUGGAACUUAGUGCACCAGGCUGUCUUUUUAUUCACAUACUGAAGAUAGCCUAUUUUUGAGGUAAACAUCUGAGCUAUCACUCUAAUUUACUGGAAUUUAUUUUUAUUUUCAUUGUAAUAUUUGUUGUUGUCUAUGUUGCUCAGACUCUCUGAAAAUGUGGCCGGAUACGUGUUGGAUCCUCCAGAAGUAGUGCAUUUUUUAAAGAUCCGACACGAGUGUGGCUACAUUUUGGAGAGUCCGCGCAACAUAGGUUGUUGUGGUAUGUAGAAACUUUUUUUUAGAUAAGGGUGGUAUAUAGAACCUUCUUGGCAUAUAUCUGAUGGUAUCUGGUUAGUUUUUUUGAACCUUCAAGACUGCUUCGUAUUCAAAAUUGUGUAUGUUAAUUAUUUCUUGAAUUUAUUCAAAGAUUAUUGGUGUGCCAAUUUGGUAUAAAUCUGUUAUUUCAGUAAGACAUCAUAUUGAGUAUCUAACUCAGUGUAUACAACGAUGAAUUGAUAUGGGCGUGUUUUGCUUUUAUCUUGCCCAAGUAAUAGUCCUUUGAAAAGUAGUAAUCUUUAUGGAUGGAUCAGUUUGUUCAUGAUAUAGAACAUUUAUUUUGUUUAAUUUUUUGAGUUCAACUAGCUAGAUCUAACACAAGUGAAAAGGUUUGAGUAGGAUAAAGGUUGGUAAGUAAUGUACCACUGCUGAAACUUUAGCACCACUACUCGCUAGAGGUAAAUCUCCCCUUCUUAUUUUAUGAAUUUCUUAUAUCUAUCUGUUUGGUUGAUUUUUCAUGUAUUUUUAUAUUCUGAAUUAUUGAUAGUAAAGUCGAGAAGGCGUUUGAUGUGAUAAAUAACAAGGGGAAAGAAGGCACCCAUUAGGUUUAAGAUGGAAAACUCAAAAUUACAUGUGAGCUUUGGAGAAGUUAAAGAAAUAGAAAGUGUAAAGGGGGAAGUCUUGGAAGAGUAUUGGCCUGAUUUUGUAGAGAGAGAAAAAAAGCAGAAAAAUAGAACUGCUAAAUGUGAGAAGAGCGAUGAAGUUAUUUAAGUAGAAACAGGAAGAGCAUGAAUUGCUGAAUGUGAGAAGAGGGAUGAAGUUAUUUAAGUAAAAACAAGAAAAGCAUGGGAGCAAAAGAAGGCAGGCGGUAGUAUGGUGGAAGGUUUUUUUAAGUUUUAUGUUUUCAGGGUUCGUCCUAUUUGGAUCUUCUUUACAGUUGCUAUUUUGGUUCGUAGAUUGUGUAAGAUAAAGAAAAUACAAAGGAUAUGGAGCUGAAUGCUGCAACUGAUGCAAGUGCUUUCUUCAGCGUGUUUCAGAUGUUUCAUAUGGUGAGGGCUCAUGAGCAUGAUCUUGAAGACAGUUUAGUGGAGACGAGCUCCAACAAUAUGGUUUAGAUGUCAUUUGAUAUGUAUUGCUAGAAUUUUAUAUUUUUUUACUAUGAACCCAUAAUGCAGAGCUUGGAAAGGCAGCUCAUGGUCAGAUUCAAUUCUAUGAAUGAAAAAGAAGUCAGCCUUUGAGUGGCAUUACACAUGUGGCAUAUUUUUCGAUUAUAUUUCAUAUGCAAUAUUCUCCGUAUCAGAUGUAAUUUGCGCAUGCAAUCCGCAUGCUUUUACUUGGAAAGGAAGAUGUAUUGUGAGAUUCAAUUCUAUGAAUGAAAAAUAAGUCAGCC